GAACGCUGGCGGCGUGCUUAACACAUGCAAGUUGCGCGGUGAUCUCAAGAAGUUUCGGACGGAAAGGGAGAGCAGCAGCGGACGGGUGAGUAAAGCACAAGGACUUGUCCCGAAGAGGGGGACAACUGUGGGAAACCACAGCUAAUACCCCAUAAGCCGAGAGGUGAAAGCAGUAAUGCGCUUUAGGAGAGACUUGUGUCCUAUCAGGUAGUUGGUGAGGUAACGGCUCACCAAGCCGAGGACGGGUAGCCGGACUGAGAGGUUGUACGGCCACAUUGGAACUGAGAGACGGUCCAGACUCCUACGGGAGGCAGCAGUGGGGAAUAUUGGGCAAUGGGGGGACCAACCCUGACCCAGCGACGCCGCGUGAGGGAAGACAGCCUUCGGGUUGUAAACCUCUGUUGCAGGGGAAGAAGAAAGUGACGGUACCCUGCGAGGAAGCUCCGGCAAACUACGUGCCAGCCGCCGC
rnacentral:rRNA from 1 species